rnacentral:lncRNA from 1 species
UUUCCCUCCAUAUAAAGGAUUUAUAGAUGCCCAUGCUCUUUGGCAUGCCACCACUAUCCCUCUUACCUACAUCUGGUGGAGUUUCAUCAGAGAUGAUGCUGAGUUCCGUACCUCUAGCCUCCUUAAAAAGGCCAAGUAGUAGUUCAUGGCGAAACUGAUAAAUAUGACCUGACAAGGAAGGAAAAAAACCACCGAUAGUUUAUAGGAUUUUGUAUUCGUUGUUUUCUUGUAAUAAUAUUUGAUUUUCUUAUUAAAAAAGAGGUACUAAAGGGAUAGGAAUUGCUUAGUAUGAUAUUAAAUUUGGAGUGAGAUUUUGAUUUUAAGUGUUUGUGAUGGAAUGAGAUUAUGUUUUUGUGCAGUGGAAUGUAGGCAAAAGCUAAGUGAGGCAUAUCCUUUAUGAGUAUUCUUCAGAGAGGAAUAAUGGCUUUGUGCAGGCUAGUCAACUGCUUUAGAGAUUUUCUUUUUCUUUUUUAAGUAUGAAUAAAGAUUUCCCUUUUUUGACACAUCAGUUUUAGAAAGAUACAUAACCAGAAAAGAAUAUAUAUAUAUAUAUUAAUAUUAUAUUAUAUAUGAAAUAUUGUGUAUUGGAAUAUUACAAAUGCUCCGUCCAUUUUAUAAAAUCCGAAAGGACUCUGCAAGACUUAAGUUGGCCAACCUGUCCGCCACUUGGUUCUGUAUGUUGUAUUAAAAGAAUCAAUGCACAUACAUUUUCAUUUAAUUAUUAGAGUUUUAUUUAUUUUAAUUGUAAAUAUUCUUUUUUUUAUAUAACAAUUACGGCCUAACGUUUACUGGGACUUUACAAUGAUAAUAUUCAACAAACUCUUCUCCUGUCAUGUAUUACCGCCAGCAUUAUUUUGACAAUGUUUGUAAAUUGCAAUUCAAUGAUAUAAAUACAUUAGCUGUUUGAAAGUUAGAUUCAAUUUUUUCACCAUUUUUUUAAAUAGAUAUCAAUUUUUACAUAAAAAAAUGAAUAAAAUGACAAUUAAAUAUGACGACUAAUAAUAUUGUUGACUGUAUAAUAAUAAUAGCGACACUAUUAAUGACAGGGAUAUAAUAUCCAUUAUAAUUAAAUAAAUUAUUGUAUUUAUCAAACCCUAGAUCGAUGUAAAUAAAUACUUAAAAGAUAAUUUUCAAAUCAAGAAUUAUUAUUUUUUGUUUAGUAUAUAUGAGUGGAAACAAAAAAGAGAAUAGAAAAAAAAGAAAUUUAGUUUUUUUUCUAUCACAAUUUAAUUCUAGACGGUGAUAUUUGAAGUAUUUGAUUUCAAAAUAUUAUAGUUUAGUUUUUUAUUUAUUGAAUACUUUGGAGUUUUUAAAUUUUAAUCCUCGCGCCCAUGUAUAAAAAAAGGAAAAGAAAAGGCAACAAUGUUUUAAAUGAGGAUCAUUUGCUAAUUUGAUUAAUCUUUUAAUGAGCUCAGAGAUCAAUUUAUACUUGCUUAAAUAUUCUAAAAUAUCAAUUUGUUGUAAUUCUCAUUUUAUUUUGUUAGACACGCUAAAAUGCACAGUUUUCAACAUAUUGAAAAUGCUCCUCUUCAAAUAAAGUCAAAAAGGCUAAACUUGAAAAGGAAAAUAGAAUAGAAAAAUUGCAGAUCCAUUUCAAAAUUCCAAAUCACAACAAGCGUAAUUCUGACGGCAUGCGCGUAGCUACUAUUUUUCCAUAAAAAUAAAAAUAAAAAUUCAAACUUCCUCACUACACGUUGCAGCUGCAGGUCACGCGCACGUGCAUUUACUGUGGCUCCACGUCGGACCAAUGGCAUCGAAUGGUAAUUUCCCUUUUAAUCCAUGUCUACUUCAAUAUUAAUAACCGUACCUUUUUUUCUCCAAAACCACUAGCUGCUGCUCUGCUGCUGCCUUUAGAAAUUAUGCGUGGAUCGUCAGAUAAACGUAGUCGGUGCACAUCCACGUGUCACAAUCCUCUUCGUCUGUUUCCAUUAUAAAUAACCAUCAGUCUCGUGUAAUAGAGUAGGCGCAGCAUGUAUCUUUCUAUAUUCUUUUAUCUUCUGCCCUUGUUUUCCUUUCUCUCUUUCUGUCUCUCUUGAAAAUUCAACAUCUAUUAUUUGGAAGAGAGAGAAAAAAAAAAGAAUAAUGGAGAAGGGGAGAGAGAGUUGAUUCUGUUACCGGCGGUCUCUAAUUCGCUUGGUGCAGGUCGGGAACUGAUUGGCGUUUCUAUUUCUAAUGAUUUCCAGGUGGCGAAAAGUUAUUGGUCAAGAUUGGAUGGAAAAUGAAUUGGAUCCCGCCUUGCAUCAACUGAAUCGGAGACCGGGGUGAAGGGUUGGUUUCGUGGAUCUUGAGAUUUUAUCUGCUGUUACUGUUCAGAUCUCAGGUUGGGACUUUUUUAUUUUUUUUAUGUAGUUUUUAUUUUCGGUGACGCUUAUUAUGGUGUAGCUGAUAAUUAAUUAGUUUUUAUUGGAUAUUUCGGCAUUCAAUGAUCUGAUAUUAUUUGGCAUUAAUAGAUCUAACUAUCAGAUCCUUUUAAUUAAUUUUCUCUCCUUUAUUCUACUUUUAGAAUGGAGGAUUCGCGCCGAUUCAUAGUAAUUGAAAAUAUUGCACAACAACAUUUAUUUGAAUUUUAUUUUAAAAAAAAAAAACUCCUUUUUGCUACAAUUUUAGUUUAAAACAAAAGAAAGAACUUGUGCCCAAUAGAGCUGGUUAUGUUGCUUGUUAUUGGAAUUUGACCAAUUUGAGUAUGAAACUAUUGAAAAUUUGCUUUGCCUUUUUUAUUUCUCAAUCUAGCUUGUCUAAAGAAUAUGAUUGUUUUUUUAAUGUGAUUUUACAAAGUAAAUAUAUUUCUUUUUUCCUUUUGCUAGCGCUUGAGAAAAUGGCUUUCAAUUUAAUAUUCAUGUCAAUGCUUGUAGAACAUUUUAGAUUUCGCAAUUUCACAUGAAAUGCUCUUUUAUUUUAUAAGUUAUAUCUGUUUUGCUAACUGAUAAAUAUAGUAACUGAGGACAUCUACUGUUUUAAAUUUUUCUCGUUCAGGGCUAAAGGACUUGGUAAGUUUUUUAUAUAAUAUAAUUAAAUAUAAAUGAAAGUUAAUCAAACAAGAAAUAAUUAGGAUAUUAUGGUUUGCUAAACAUGCUCAUAGAUUUUAGUUGUAGACACGAAUAAUUAUGCUUUGGCAUGUACUAAGUUGCAGGUUCUCAGUGUGUCAUAUCUCAUUUUUUUGUUUUGGUGAAUUGUCUACAGACUAUCAAAUCUACUAAUAAGCUUCUAUUCCAACACGGAACGAAAAUGACAAUAUACAGGAUGGAUAGAAGAAGUCGUGAUACUGGGCUUUAGGUUUAAAGUUUAGACUUCCUCUGUGUUUGGACCAAAUCAAUAGAUAAGUUGAAUAAUUUUGCAAAUGAAAUUCAUGCAGAAUUCAUUUAUAAAUUAACAUUUUUCAUUGAUAUACAAUAUAUCAAUGCAUAGACUUUAUUGUAAAGUUUAGAUUUUGUUGUUUUGAAUCUCUUACAAACUUUGAGAAUUUUUAUAUAAAUUGGUUUAGGAUGACCAAUCCCUUGAAACCGAAACUUUAGGGUGGAAAUGAAACUGUUUGGGGUUGCAAACAUGUCAAGUAUGGAUUUACAAUUUAAUUUGGUGGCAUUUUAUGGAAGUCGUUUGCUACAAGGCAACAUCUUUAUGGUAUUUAAAUUAAUUGUAACAUUAUGUUUGGUUCAAAUCUUAUGUGGAAUUUUAAUUUCAAUUACAAAUGAUUUUAUAAUAGAAUUCAUUUGUAAAUGAAUUUUGGUAUUUGGUACAUUUUAUAAUAAAUGUAGAAUUCAUUUCAAAUGAAAGGUAUUUGUGUUUGGUCUAAUUGCAAAAAUCAAUUCAAUGUUUUUGUUUCUUUAAAAAUGCCCUUUAUAUGUAUUAUUUUGUAAUUUAUAUAUUUUCUAAUCAAAUAUUAAUUAAAAUGAGAGAGAGAAGAGAGAGAAAAGGAAAACAUAAAAAAGAGAAAGAGAGAGAACUAAGAUAUUUGAAUAGUGUACUUUUUUCAUAACAAUGACAAACUCAUAAGCUUCGAGUUCGUUUGAAAAUUCUAUCAAAUUCGAUAGAAUUUGAUAUAGUUAUAACCAAUUCCAUGAACCUGAUGAUUUAGACUUCCAAGUGGUUUUUCAUUUAUACCAAACACACUAAAUUUGAAAUUAAAAAUGAAUUCCGUAAAAACUUAUGGAACUCAUUUACACCAAACACAAUGUAAAUAUAGUUUCCAAAUUCUUCUGGUUUCAUAGUAGAUGGUAGGUCAAUGCUGGAUUGGUUUCUCUCUAGUUCUUUCAUGCUUUGUUCUAAAUGUAGUUUCCAUUGCUAUAUGAUGCUGGAACCAGGCUUAAGGUAACUUUUGUGUUUUCCUCUACUCUAUUUGAAGUCAGUGUGAUAACAAUUCAGUUGUACUCUAGAUCACUUAAAAAUGUUUUCAAAGUUCUGUAUUGACAUCCUUGUGAGCCAGGGUGGACAUGAAGGGUAACUCAUGAUGACACCAAAAUGUGCUAGUUUUAAUUGUGUUAUUUCACCUCUCUCUCUCUCUCUCUCUCUCUCGUGCUGUAUGCACGUUUACGUUAUGUAUGUACACUUGUAUUACCUAAACUCUUUAAGGUACUUUGUUUUGAUGAUGAAUGUUUAAUGGUAUUGAUUGUGACGCUUGAGGCUUGAACGGAAAUAUCCUGCUUAAUGUCAAAGCUUUGGGCUUCAUCAACUGCUCAUGUACUGUCCCUGCUCCAGAUUUCAUGGCUAUGGUAUGGUAUCUCAUUUUUCAAGCAUUUCCCAUCUUGUCAUAUAUAUUGUGGUUUUUAUGUGUAACAGUUGAUGUGCUGGAUAUGCAAUAGUGAAGUUUUGCUUGCUUGGUUUUACUGCCAUUUACCACUGGUUAGUCUCUACGUCAGUCGAUGUGUGUACUUGUGUGUUUUGUGUUUAGCAAUCUGGGACCCUUACAGUUUCAUUUUAUUAGCAAAAGGUAGCAAAAGGUUCCACUUUGACAUUGAAUCAUCUUAAUUUUUAUUUUCAUAUGCAUGCAUGCAAACAUUUGGUCUCUUGUUUUAUUGUUUGUCAAAUUUUCUAUUAGUGCACCUGCUUGUUCUGGUUACUAGCACUUGUGUUCAUCCUGGAGGUUGUUCGACAGUUUCCAAUAUAUGGUAUUUGAUCAAAAUCACUUUUAAACCCCCUUCUUCUAGCCCAUCUAUUAACGUACAAGUACUUUUUCCUAAACAACUAGUGGUAAAAUUAAGGCAUUUCAUUGUAUUGGUGAUUUUAUACUCAUCCACGGAAUGUAUAACUAAGUAAUUUGAAUAAGAUCGCUGGGAUUGGCCUCUCAGCGUCUUGAGGUUCAUUUGGAUGAUUGACUAAACAAAGAUUUUGCAGGUCUUGCUGGUUAGAACAAGAAAAAGAUUUGACUCCAAUUCCUUUUGGCAACUUGGCUUUGUUGUGCAGCAUCCUCUUUGAGAUUUGCAGGUUGUCGUCCUGGCAGUACCCUUGUUAAGGUUUAUCAAGUGCUCAUGUUCUCUAACAUGCUGCAGACAUUCCACCCAACUCCCAACCGUUCCUUCUUCCAUCAUUGGAUGAUGCCAAGGAGGACUAGCUUACAACAGAAGUUACAUAUAAACGAUUGUGACUUUCAGUUCUUGAAUUUAAUAAUAAAGAUCCACACUUGAACAGCUCGGUAUAAUUCAUUUUCAGUAAGAAACGAGAACGAGGUGUUUGGUUUGGUAAUCGCCGAGCUUGAAGUGUUUUCUAAGAUGGUGGUUUUUUGCCGAGCUUGAAGUGUUUUCUAGAAGGAUGGUUCUUUAGAGAUUUUAAAAUCAAUUCAAUAACGGUUUUUCAUCCAACAGUUCCAUCGAUUGAUUUGUUAAAGUUUUAAAAUCAACAACUAAUAAUUGAUUUCAAUCGACCAUUGAUUCUAUCGAUUUUAUUUUAGAAUUUUUUCAUAUGUUAUAAUAGUUGAUUUAAUUUAUUCAUUUGGAUAUUAUUAUUUUAUUAAUAAUAAUUUAUUUUAAAUUAAUUUUAUAUAAUUAUCUUUUUAUAAUUCAAUAAUGAACAAUUAUUAUUUUCAAAUUCCACUAAACUAGCUCUUAAUUAAUAGUGGAAUUUUAACUGUUGCUGCAGAUAACUCUCGUUUUCCUUUUUUAAUCCCUUCCUCAUCUUUCUCAAUGGUGCUCCAUUUCAUCUUAUACUAGCAAAAAUGAUAUUUCAUAGGGGGUGUCAAUGACACGCGAAUUUGAUUUGUCAAAUAUAAAAAAGAAAAAUAUGGAUUAAGCUAAACUUUAGUAGGUUCAAACAUAAAAAAGAAAAAUACAGAUUAAGCUAAACAAUAGUAGGUUCAGGUUCGUAAAUAGGUUGAUCUGUUUAUCAACCCAUUUAUGACAGGCUUGAAAUAAGUGGUGUAACGGAUUGACUUAUGAACUCAUUGUAAUCUGUUUAAUUUUUUCGUGUUGUGUUGGAUCGUGUCAAUUCCAUCCAACCCAUUUAUAAUUUAUAAAUUUUAAAAAAUAAAAAAUAGAAAAAUUAUAUAUAAAAGUGAGAGCAAAUAAAAAUAUAAUGAUUAAAAAGCAAAAUAUAACAAAUAAGACCUAUGAUGAUCCUAUUAAAAUUUUUUACUAUUUAUUUUUGUGCCACCUCUUUCACAGAAUAAAACAAAAUUCUAACAAAUAAUUUGUCCAUAUGAAUUUUAAAGAUGCCUUUUCGAACACGUAUUGAGGCUGCAACACGUGCGAAUGGCCUGUAAUGUACUUCCUUAACAUAGAUAUAUCAAAUACCGGAUGCACAUGUGAAAAAUUUGACAGCAAGUCCAGCUUGUAUGGCAUCUCUCCAAUUCUGCCUAUAAUCUCAAAGGAUCCUACAUUAUCGAGAGGCCAAUUUAUCUUUCUUGCCAAACCGCAUCACACCAUGUAUGAGGAACAUUUUCAAGAAUACAUACUCUCUAACACUGUACACCACGUGCUUCCGCUUUCGAUCUGCAUAACUUUUCUACCCGGUCGCGAAAAAUAUGAAGCUUUUCUGAAGUGAUAUAAACUAACUUUGGUUCUCCUAACUUUUAUUCAUCAACCUCUUCCCUACACACAGGAGAUCUGCACUUCCGGUUAUACAAAAGGGGUCAUCUCGAUGCUUACAUGGUAGCUGUUGUUAUACGCGAAUUCAAUCAACAGUAGGUACCAAUUUCAUUGACCACCAAAAUUUAUCACGCAUAUCCGAAGCAUAUCCUUGAAGGUCUUAAUUGUUUUCUUCGACUGUCCUUCAGUCUGGGAGUGAAAAGGCUGUAUUGAAGUCCAAUCCGGUACCAAGCUCUUUUUGUAGCUUUCUCCAAAACCUCGAGAUGAACUACGGUUCUCUAUCAAAUACUAUAAAAAUAGGAACGCCAUGAAGACUAACAAUUAUCUCCAGAUACACUCAUGCAUACUUAGCCACAAAAUAAGUAGUCUUUACCGGAAGGAAGUGCGCUGACUUAGUCAAUCGGUUCAGAAUUAUCCAAAUAGAAUCAUAACCAGUCGAAAUCUUGGGUAAACCUGAUACAAAAUCCAUAGUAAUCCUUUGCCAUUUCUACUCUAGUAUGAGAAGCGGUUGCAAUAAUCGUGACGACUUCUGAUACUCUAAUUUUAUCUGCUGACACGUUAGACACAAACUCUGCCACAUCCUUUUUCAUUCCAUUCCACCAAUAAUUUCCUUUCAAAUCAUUAUACAUCUUGGUGGAGCCCAGAUGUAUGCUGUAAGCCGUAUAGUGAGCUUCUUCUAAAAUCUUCUUUCUGAGAUUAUCUACAUCGGAAACACACAGCCUAGUUCCCAUUCUGAGAGUACUACCAUCAUCUAUAACAAAAUCAUUAGAUCGAUCCUACUGUACUUCUUUAAAGAUUUUUCAUAACUGUGGCUCCUAAUUCUGAGCUAACUUGAUUCUAUCAACGAGCACAGACCUAAUCCUGAAAUGUGCUAACAGUGCUCUCAAUUCCAAUACCUCCAUCUGUAACCCUUGAUUGUACAAUUCUUACAACUCUCUACUUAGGGGUCUCUUCUCUCCAUUGACAUGAGCAAGGCUACCUAUUGACUUCCUGCUCAAGGCAUCUGCCACGAUAUUAGCUUUACUUGGAUGGUAGAGAAUAUUACAAUCAUAACCUUUCAGAAGCUCCAACCAUCUCCUCUGUCUUAGAUUCAAUUCCUUCUGCUGAAAAAUAUACUUCAAGCUUUUGUGGUCCCUAUAUAUCUCGCACGUCUCACCAUAGAGAUAGUACCUCCAGAUCUUUAAUUCAAAGAUUACUGCUACCAUCUCCAAAUCGUAAGUAGGAUUAUUCUGCUCAUGCCUCUUCAAUUGUCUGCAUGCAUUAGCCACUACCUUACCAUUUCACAUCAGGACGCAACCGAAACCCACUCUGAAAGCUUCAUAAUACACCGUGAGUCCACGAGUUCCAGAGGAUAAGGUCAAUACCGAAGCUGAAGUUAAAUAGUCUUUCAACUUCUGGAAACUUCUUUCACACACGUCAGUCCAUUGGAACCUGACAUUCUUUUGAGUCAACUUAGUCAAAGGUGUUGUUAUCCUCUAAAAGUCCUACACGAAUCUAUGUUAGUAGCCUGCCAAUCCUAGAAAGCUACGCACCUCAGUCACUGUGGUCGAUCUCUGCUAGUCAGUCACCGCCUCUACUUUCUUGGGGUCCACUUGGAUACCGUCUCUAAACACAACAUGUCCGAGAAAGGCAACAUUUUCUAACCAAAACUCGUACUUAGAAAACUUAGCGUACAAUUGAUGCUCACUCAAAGUCUGAAGUACCAUCCUCAGAUGCCACGCAUGCUCCUCUUCGCUUCUGGAAUACACCAAGAUAUCAUCAAUGAAUAUAAUGACAAAACGGUCUAAGAACUGCUUGAACACCCAAUUCAUCAUAUCUAGAAAGGUUGCAGGAGCAUUAGUGAGUCCAAACGACAUUACCAGGAACUCAUAAUGCCCAUGACAUGUCCUGAACUUCGUCUUCCGCAUGUCUUCCUCACGGAUCCUCAACUGGUGAUACCCCAAUCUCAAAUCAAUCUUGGAAAAGCAUGUGGCUUCUUGAAGCUGAUCCUUUAGAUCAUCGAUGCGAAGAAGUAGAUACUUGUUAUGAAUCGUCGUUUUAUUCAGCUGCCGGUAAUCAAUACAGAGGCGCACAGUAUCAUCCUUCUUCACGAACAUAACAGGAGCACCCCAUGAAGACGUACUGGGUCUGAUAAAACCUUUAUCCAGGAGGUCCUGCAACUGCUCAUUUAACCCCUUUAACUCGGCUGGUGCCAUUUGAUAGCGCGAUAAAAAAAUAGGUGUCAUACCCGGUACCACGUUGAUACAAAACUCUAUCUCUCUAUUAGGCAGUAAUCCUGGUAGCUCUUCUGGAAAUACAUCGGGAAACUCGCAGACCACCUGAACAUCCUCAACACUAUCUUUUUCUGCCGAGGUAUCCCUGACUAAAGCUAGAUAUCCCUGACACCCACGGUGAAGCAUCAGCCUAGCUGUAAUAACUAACACGAGAUUCGAUGGAGUAGGUACUUGCUCGCCUUUAAAAUGAGACACCGAGUCUCCCAGAAUUUGAAAAGUUACUUGCUUUUCCCAGCAGCCCAUCAUGACAUAAUGCAUAGCUAACCAAUCCAUUCUCAAAAUUACGUCGAAAUCCAUCACGUCCAACAGAAUUAAAUUGGCAACUAAAUCCCGACCCUCAACUGACACCGGACACAAUGGAAAUACAACAUCGGUCUCUAGGGCGUCACUUAUCGGCGUAGUGACCGACAUUGAAACUUGGAGUCUAACUGGUUAGACAUCAAAUGUUAAAGUAAAACUAGGCGAUACAAAAGAAUGGGUAGCCCCAGAGUCUAACAAAACUCUAGCUUCAGAAUAGCAUAUAGGGAUAAUACCUGACACCACAGCAUUAGAGGCUCGUGCAUCCUAAUGAGUGAGUGUGAACACUCUCGCCUGCCCAUGGCCUGAAGCCUGACUCUAAAAUCUGCUCCUAGAUCGGCUCCAUUAGACCUACCUCCAGAACCACGGCCCUGGUGAUAUUCCGGAGCUGAAAAAAAAACUGGUCGGGUCACACUAGCAGACGAGUCCUGAGAAAAAGUUGGCUGGCUAAAGUAGCAAGGACAUGCUCAAGCCAUAUGUCUCAUCUCUGCCACACCUGAAACAGGCUCCGCUCAAAGUCAGGCACUGUCCCUGAUGUGACCUGCCGCACAUCUGACAGGUGUUAGCUCCAGAACUAGAGCUGUUGUAGGCAGAACUCUGCCUACUGCCACUAAAGCCCUGCUCUGGCUUGAAUCCUCUACUACCCUUCUGGUUAUGUCUACCCUUCUUGUGAGUAUGGUAGCCUCUUUGCCCGGCCUGCUGGUUGGAACCUCCAGAGUAGCCUCCACUGUCUUAAUACGGCACAACUGGCUGUGCACUGGACUAACCCUCCAUCCUGGUCUUCUUUUUCCUUCCAUCAUCAAUCCCCUGGCCAAAUCCUCGUAGGGUCAUCUCCAUCUGCCUAGUCAUUAAGUCACUUCUAGGAAGCUGCUCGUCCUAGACUGAACCAAUGAGACAUACUCUGGACCAAAUCUUAAUAUAUACUUGUUAUUCUUCUGCUUCUCGGUCCCCACAACAUAGGGCGCAUACCUACUUAGCUGCACAAAUUGUCUAGUGUACUCUGCCACUGACAAGUCUCCCUUAACUAGUCUCUCAAAUCUCUCUAUGUACUCCUGCCUCACGCUAAAAGGAAUGAAGUACUCCUCAAAUCUGUCUCUGAACUGCCUCCACGAUAAUCCAUCCAAAGAAGGGCGGAUAUGGUCUCUGAACCAGUGAGAUGCUAUCCCCUUCAAAAGAAAACCGGCCAUCUCGAUGGUUCUCUUGUCAGAACAGUGCAAAUCUGAUGUCAUUUUUUCAACCUCAUCCAGGAAGUCCAAAGGAUCCCUAGAUGUCCUAUCAAAUUCCAUGGGUCUCAACUUAGUAUACUCCGACAUGGGAACCUCGUCCGGAUUCCUGAUACCGGACCCAUUAUCGCAGCUCCCUAAACCUUGGACAGCCUGCUGCUGUUAAAAAGCUAACAACUGCUCUAAAGUCCUCUGCAUCCCAGUCAUACCGGCUACGAACACUUCCACAAGGACUCCACCAGCACCGUGUGCCUCCUGAGCCUCGCCUUAAUCUGGUUGGGCUACCGCUCGAGGCCUACCUCGCCUCCUGGUAUCACGGGCUGGGGCUGGUGGGGCCGACUGAGUGGAAACCUCAUCUUAGCCCUUUUGGGGCACUGCUGCUGCUGCAGCCGCUCGAGUCCUCGGUAUAGCAGGGGCUGAAAAUAAACAACAAGAUAUCAAAUCCAACAGACUCUCUAACAUAUAGUACAAAUACUAGAAUCAAUAAAACACGCAAGGACGGGCUCGAUUCCUAACUCCGCAGUAGUUAAGGAAGCUAACCUAGGUCAAAGGAGAUCUAAACCUAGGCUCUUAUACCAACUUUGUCACGACUCGAUCUAUGGGUCCAUGACCGGUAUUAGGGAAUGUGUAGGCUUAAGGCCACCAAGACCCGUAGUAAGCCUUACUAGUCGAUAUUUCAAAUAUACAUAUAAAAACAUAAUAUUAUACCAGUCUGACAUGCCAUAUACAAGUCUCUAACUGAACAAUAAUAACACUUCAUAAUUUGCUACAGUCCACAUCAAAUUUCAUUUUUCUUUUUUUUAAUAUUUAUUUAUUUAUUUAUUAUUAUUAUUAUUUAUUAUUUAUUAUUCUUUUUCUUCCGGAUACAUUAAAUUUCAAAAUGAGCAGCAAUAAAUGAUUAAACCUUGCUACUUUUAUUUUUAAUUGAAAAGAGAUGACACUAAAGUAUCAAUAUUUUAGAGUUAUGUCUACUAUCUUUUACCUUAAAUUAAUGGUUAAAUACAUAUUUAUACUAACAAUUACAUAUAUAUUUAUACUCUUGAACUCAUAUUGAUUAGUUAAUUUAAUAUUUUGAUUUUAAUUUAAUAAACACUUAAAUUUUAUUUUCUUACUCGUUCAAAAAUUACAAAAAUAUAUUUUAUAAGUCCCAUUUAAAUUUUGAGUCCUACAUGAACAAAUUCCUGUUCUAAUUCAAAAUUCUAUUAUUAUAAGUUUUCUGGUGUCUUCAAUUUUCAAACCUUCAUGCUUGAGCUUCUACCCUAUAAGAUUAUGGUUCAAAUUAGAAAAAUAUUUUUCUCCAAGUUGAAGUUAGAUUUGAAGUCAUACACAAAAUGACAAAUUUUAAAAAAUAUACAUAUAAAAUAGUUUUUGGACCUUUGUUUGGAACUUUUAGAUAACCUAAAUGGCAACUUGCAAGCUCGUAUACUAUUACUUGUUGGGUGAGCCCACUAAAUAGAGCAAUCAUGAGCAAUGCAGAGACCAAGAAUUGACUCUUUUUCUUUUUAUUAUUUUCACUUUUUACAUCGGCUCUAUUAAUUCUGAUUAGUUUCGAUUUUUAAUCAGGUCUAUCUAUUUCUAAAUUAGUGAGUUUAUUGAUAAAAAUCAUGGAAAGGAAUAAUCAUUAUCUUCUUAUUUCCCUCUCUCUUUUCUUUUCUCUUUUUCUUUUCUAAGAAAAAAAUCUUAUCAUCAAGUUGAUAUAUUUUUUUAAUAUUUCGAUAGAAUAUAUUUCUUUUUAACAUUUUAAUAAAAGAUCCAAAAAUAUAUACACAGGUGAGAUGGUGAGUUAAUAUAUAUUUUAUUAAAAAGAUAGUGAAUUAAUAUAGAAUUUUAAAAGUUUAAAUUAAAUUUAAAAAUAAGUAGCAAUAAAUGAUUAAACCUUACUACUUUUAUUUUUAAUUGAAAAGAAAUAACACUGAAGUAUCAAUCUUUAUUUUAAGUCUGAGAAAAUCAUUUUUUUAGAUGGAACGAAAAAUUAUUUACUUUAAGGAGUUAUCUUAUAAAAUAAUACUUAAAUAUCUUUUUAAAUAUAAAAUAAAAAAAUUAGUUUGGUCCUUCACAUUUUUAAUUUUAAUAAUGUAUUACAAAUUAUAUAAUUUUAUUAAUUAAUAUUACGUGAUACAAUACCAAUAAACACCUAAAACAAAUUCUGAAAUUCCAAAAAGGUCCAAAAAGAGAGCCGUGGUGGUAUUUGAAUCACCACAUUCUAGUGAACGAAACCCUCUUCUGUUUCGCAAAGCCCAAACUCUAACCUUGUGAAAACCUCCCCAGUCUCCUUCUUUUCCCCCUUUUUUUUCUCCCUCCUCUCUCUCUCUCUCUCUCUCUCUCUCUCUCUUCUCUUCUCUUCAAUCUCUAAAUCCUUUCCCCAAAUUCAAUUUUGCCUAAUCUUUGUUUUUGGGAGAUUUAAGGGUUUUGUAUCUUUAUCCCUCUGUUUAUCGAUAAGAUCUGCUGCUCAAAUCUUAUCUAAGUCAUGGCUACUGUUGCUCCUUCUGCUGAGAGUAUCCUUUUACUAAUUUUAUUAUAUGUGUUUACUUGAUUUAUGGGUUUUCUCUCUCUAACUUGAUCUGUUUGUUUUGGAUCGAAUUGGGUUUUUAUCUAGGGUUUCAGUAGAGUUUUGUGUUUGGUAAGCUCUUUAUUAUUAGUUUAUCAGCAUUCUCUGGCGUGGUGAUUUUUUUAAUUUUUGUUUGUUAUGCCCUUUAGGUUUAGGUCUGAGGGAUGCGUAUUUGUAUGCUUUAAAAUAGUAAUAUUUAGUGUUUUGUUUUUGUAAUUAAUAUAAAUAUGCAGAUGGGGAUUUUGUUUGCUGCUUUAUUCUUUUAUCCAUGGUCAAAACACAAGAGAAAAACUGUGUUCCCUUUACUUUGCUUUUAUAUAGAAACUGCAGAUUUGCUCCAGAAUUUAUAACUGGAUUCUCAAACAAAGCCCUUGGAAAUUCCUGAGCCAACUAAGAAGGUAACAUGUAUAUCUUUGUAUCAUGUUAUUAUGGAUUUCAGGGCAUAAGCUUUCAACUAUGGGAAUUGAAUAUGUAAUUUGAAUAUUGUUUUAUAAAUUAUAUGCAAACUUCUGUUUACCAAUAUGGGGCUGUUGACUCGGGUAUAAAUUUAUCACUAGAUUCUCAAUCUAAAUAUGUGUACCCCUAUCCAAUCCAAACUUUCGUCAAGGAUCAAUUUCUUCCUACUUUAUUAUCUUACAGGAAAUCCACACUCUAAUUCCCUUUCAGCUUAAGAAUGCUAUAUAAAAAUUGCAACCAAAUCCAUCUCCUUUUCCACAAUCAUUUAUCUUUAUGCAAUCAUGACUCUUUCUACCGUGAUAACUUAUAAUAACUUCUUGUUCCUUCAGUGUCUUUGUUGUAACCGAUAUACUUGUUUUUCUAUUUUUUUCAAGCAGCAUUAAAAUUCAAUAAGGAAAAAACAGCUUGCCUAUAAUGCUUACUAGUCUAUUCAUUUAUGCUCAUAAGAGAAAUCAAUAAAUAAAUAGUAAGGUUAGUUAAACUCUAUUUAAUAAAGAUGAAAAUUGAAAAGCUAACCAACAUUUUCAAAAUUCCAAGUCAAUUCGAUCUCGUAAUGAAAAAAAAUAGACUCUAACCAAUAUAUCUUCAAUCUUUAACUGAAAAUUUUAAUUUCAUGCAUAAAAGAGGUGAUAACAUGAAAGGAAAGGUAAUCAUGUAUGUGGCAAAUACAUGUAAAACUAAGAUAAGUUGCAAAAAUUACGUCGAUUGAUAAACAAACAAAAAAAUUGAAGAUACAAUUGAAGAAACUAAAGAUCAAGAAAAUGGGUGAAGUGUCUUUCUUGUUUCCUUGUUUAUGGUUAUCUCCACUUCUGAAAUGAUUUUACUGGAAAUUACAAAUUGAAUCUUGGAGCAGUUAAAGACUGGAGAGAGAGAGAUAUUUGAUCGAUAAAAGAGAUGCAAAAUAGAGCAUGAGUAUAGACUUCUUGGACCGAGAUGCUAAGGUCUAAUGGGUUUAAUUCAGCUAUAACGGCGUCGUGUUAUUUGUGGGCUUCAUUAUCCUAAGAGAGCACGAAGUUGAUCAAAUGGCUCGAGCUUUUUCUAGUGUACCUUUUUGGUAUGACCUUGUUCAACGACUCGGGAAACUCGUUGAAGACUCACNNNCUUGUGGUAGGCUCACAGCCUAUAUGUACUUCACGGGUAAUGAAGAAAGUUGGGGUAAUGAAGCCCACAAGUAACACGAUGCCGUUAUAGCUGAAUCAAGCCCAUUAGACCUGAGCAUCUCAGCCUAAGAACUCUAUACUCGUGCUCUGUUUUGCAUCUCUUUUAUCGAUCAAAUAUCUCUGUCUCCAGUCUUUAACUACUCUAAGAUUCAGUUUGUAAUUUAUAGUAGAAUCAUUUCAGAAGUGGAUAUAACCAUAAAGAAGGAAACAAGAAAGGUACCUCACCCAUUUUCAUGAUCUAUAGUUUCUUUAAUUGUAUCUUCGGUCUUUUUCUUUGUUUAUCAAUACGCGAUUACCUUUCUUUUCAUGGUAUCACCUCUUUUGUGUAAGAAAUUAAAAUUUAAAGUUAAAAGGUUGAAGAUAUAUUGAUUAGAGUUUAUUUUGUUUCAUUGCGAGAUCAGAUUGAUUUCGAACUUUGAAAAUGUUGGUUAGCUUCUUGAUUUUCAUCUUUAUUAAAUGGAGUUUAACUAACCUUACUAUUUAUUUCUUGGUUUCUCUUGUGGGUAUAAAUUAAUAGAUUAGUAAGCAUUAUAGGCAAACUGUUUUUUUCUUUCAUUGCACUUGCUGUGUGUCUUGAAAAUUGAAUGGCAAAUUUAUUGAAUCUUAAUGCUGCUUGAAAAAAGAGAAAAAAAAGUAUACUGGUUACAACAAAGACACUGAAAGAACAGGAAGUUAUUAUAACUUAUCAUGGUGGAAAGAAUCUUAAUUGCAUAAAGAUAAAUCAUUGUGGAAAAGGAGAUGGAUUUGAUUGCAAUUUUUAUAUAGCAAUCUUAAGCUGAAGGGGAAUUAGAGUGUGGAUUUCCUGUAAGAUAAUAAAGUAGAAAGAAAUUGAUCCUUGAUGAAAGUUUGAAUUAGAUUAGGGGUACACAUAUUUAGAUUGACCGAGCAACUUUUCAUGAUUUACCAGAUAGUGGAAAUCUUUAGGCAGGUAAUAAAUGAAAAAGAGGAAAAGCAGGAAAAUAAUGAUAUCAAAUGAGAAUUUUGACCUUUAAUUUAGAAAAAAGGACUGACUUAGAAGCAAAUCUUGGUGCUUGAACAUUGUCAUGCUGAGUUGCUGCUCUUUGAUAUAUCUUUUUUUAUGAAAAUUUUUUAAAAUAUUCCAGAUUUUAAUUUUUGAUCAUUUCUCAAUAGAUGGUGGAUCGAUAUUGGAUUGGUUUCUCUCUGGUGCUUUCAUGUCUUGUUCAAGUUUUAGAUGCCAGUGCCGGUGAUGCCGAUUCAGUCUACAGGUAUAUAUUCUUUGUUUCCCUUGCUUUUUAUUUUAGAACUGGUGUUUUAUCAUUUUAGGCUUUGCUCUAGAUCAUUUCCCAAGCUUCACAAUUGUGAAAUGUGCUCAAGGUUUUGCGUUGGUCUUCCUAUGAUUCACCUUAUACAUGUAAAGUCAUUUACUAGGAUAUUGACAUUUACUAGUUCAUACUCUAUUGAUGUUAUUGCACAUGUGCUUCAGGGUUAAUCCUCCUUUUGCUGCUUCAGGGGAAUUUGUGAGACUACAAAUUAAUUUUUCAUGUUAACUGAGGAUUUAAUCAAAAUGAUGCCUGGAUCCAUCUAAAGCUAUUUGAUUAUAGUUUUAAUGUCGACAUAAACUGGUUAGAUCCCAAGUUUUUCAUAAAAACACAUGUACAACCACAUACAUAAAUGUGUUUAUGCAGCACUCUCAUUUUGUGUGUACUUGAAUUACGUGACUUGAUAUUUUGAGACUUCACCACUUGCCCAUUUUGCUCAAUUCUCGCUGGAAAUAUUAAGAUCAGUGCCCUUUUUAUGAAAGAUCUGCUAGAUGUGCUCCAAUCAUUGCUAUGACUAGUCAGCAUAAUAUCUCAUUUUCCAGACAUGCAUCUUAUGUUUUCUCCAUCCUGUCAUACAUAUUGAGAAAAUAUGUGUGCUUUGUAAAGCAACUUGUCUGUAAUGGUAAAUGUGUUAUACAUGCAUUACUUGUUAUUCCAUAUCUUAGCCCACUUGUUUCAACAGCCAAGCACCAAUCCAAAAUUUACAAUGUACUUUCAGAUAGUAUACUUUUCAGUGGCUUUACUUUUUUUGGUUUUCUUCUGCUGGUGACUGUAUUAUGCAUCCCUCAUGGUAUCUGUUGAAUUCUUUUCUUAGCAUUUGUUUUGGAAUUGAUUAAUCUGCUUCUAUUUAUCAUGGUUGGGAUCUUCUACGUGCAUUGAAAAGGGUUCAGUAUGUGGAUAGGUGAUAUACUUUUUAUGUUACUGGUAUUUAGGGCUUGUGUUGGACAAUGUGAAAAAUCUGGAUGUGUGGGUCAAAGAUGCUUUUCGCACUGCAAGUUUUCUUCAGAUGGCGUCUCAAUUGAUGGUCCAUGGUAUAUGCAAGAACCUCUUUACUUACGAUGGAAGCAAUGGGAUUGCGAAAGUGACUGUCGCUACCACUGUAUGCUCGAUAGAGAAAAGGAAAGAGAAGCACUUGGCCAUGGUCCUGUCAAGUAUCAUGGUAAAUGGCCCUUCAACCGUGUAUACGGAAUUCAGGUUUGCUGUUCAGUAAAAUCGUCGUUAGUAUUUCUUUUCUUUUUUUGCCGAAGGUAAUUCAGAUCUUACCACAGUUUUCUGGACUGCGCAUCUUGACUGGUUAUUAUGUACAGGAGCCUGUCUCUGUAGCUUUCUCUGCACUGAACCUUGCUAUACAUUUCCACGGCUGGCUUUCAUUUUUCAUUCUUCUUAAUUAUAAGUUGCCACUUAAACAAGAUAAGAAAGGUGUACUAUGAAUAUGCGACUCUGUGGCAUAUCUAUGGGCUCUUAUCAAUGAACUCCUGGUUCUGGAGUUCAGUUUUCCACAGCCGGUAAGCUUAUUCUCCUUUACAUCAGGAUAAGCAUCUGCAAGACAUCUGCAAGCAUAUUGUUUUUUUUAUAUAUAUAUUUUUAUUUUCAUUGCAAAGACAUGCAAACAUAUCUUAUAGAUAGGUCAGAUCUUUCAAUUUCUUAUAUUGAUUGUGUACUUUAAAUGUAGAGAUGUGGACUUGACAGAGAGGCUGGACUACUCUUCUGCAGUUGCAUUAUUGGGUUACUCGCUCAUUUUGGCUAUACUAAGAACUUUAAAUAUAAGAGUUGAAGCAAAAAGGGUCAUGGUUUCUGCUCCACUUAUUGCGUUCGUAAUUACUCAUAUAUCAUUCCUCAAUUUCUAUAAGAUGGAUUACGGUAAUAUAUCUGUCCUCUUAUAGCUAUCAAGUCCAAAGAUUAGUACAGAGUUAUAUUCUGAAUUAUGUAGAGUAGCUUUCCAUCACGGUGUCCUGAGGUUUUCUUUGACCCCAUCUGAUAUGUUUGUUGUGUUAUUGCACAUCACAUUUGAAAGCUAAGAUGGUAUAGGGUUUGGGGGGGGGUUUGAAUGGCUGCUUGUUCCUUUAGGGAACAAUGCAACGGUACUGUUUGUGCAGGGGGCUUAAGAGGUGGAGAGAGAGAGAGAGAGCUGUGCCUUUGAAUUUUUAAUUUCUCCCAGCUCUGUAAUGCAAAUGUUGUCAAAGUUUAUGGUGACGAACUGACAAGACUGUAAAUACUUACUUUACAGGAUGGAACAUGAAAGUAUGUGUCGUCAUGGGAGUGGCUCAGCUUCUCAUAUGGGCAAUUUGGGCUGGUGUCAGCCGUCAUCCUUCUCGGUGGAAGUUGUGGAUGGUGGUCGUAGGAGGUGGGCUUGCAAUGCUUUUAGAAAUCUAUGAUUUCCCUCCAUAUAAAGGAUUUAUAGAUGCCCAUGCUCUUUGGCAUGCCACCACUAUCCCUCUUACCUACAUCUGGUGGAGUUUCAUCAGAGAUGAUGCUGAGUUCCGUACCUCUAGCCUCCUUAAAAAGGCCAAGUAGUAGUUCAUGGCGAAACUGAUAAAUAUGACCUGACAAGGAAGGAAAAAAACCACCGAUAGUUUAUAGGAUUUUGUAUUCGUUGUUUUCUUGUAAUAAUAUUUGAUUUUCUUAUUAAAAAAGAGGUACUAAAGGGAUAGGAAUUGCUUAGUAUGAUAUUAAAUUUGGAGUGAGAUUUUGAUUUUAAGUGUUUGUGAUGGAAUGAGAUUAUGUUUUUGUGCAGUGGAAUGUAGGCAAAAGCUAAGUGAGGCAUAUCCUUUAUGAGUAUUCUUCAGAGAGGAAUAAUGGCUUUGUGCAGGCUAGUCAACUGCUUUAGAGAUUUUCUUUUUCUUUUUUAAGUAUGAAUAAAGAUUUCCCUUUUUUGACACAUCAGUUUUAGAAAGAUACAUAACCAGAAAAGAAUAUAUAUAUAUAUAUAUAUAUAUAUAUAUAUAUAUAUAUAUUAAUAUUAUAUUAUAUAUGAAAUAUUGUGCAUUGGAAUAUUACAAAUGCUUCGUCCAUUUUAUAAUAUCCGAAAGGACUUUGCAAGGCUUAAGUUGGCCAACCUGUCCGCCACUUGGUUCUGUAUGUUCUAUUAAAAGAAUCAAUGCACAUACAUUUACAUUUAAUUAUUAGAGUUUUAUUUAUUUUAAUUGUAAAUAUUUCAUUUUAUACAACAAUUACGGCCUAACGUUCACUGGGACUUUAAAAUGAUAAUAUUCAACAAACUCUUCUCAUAUCGUGUAUGUAAUAGACUUAGUCUUUCUAUUAACGAACCGUGCGGCACUAGCUAUUUUCUACAAUUAAACAAAUAAACUAGUCAGUUUUAUUCUUCAAAUGCUAGGCAAAAUGCUAGCUAAGAUAGCAAGAAGAACAACAGAGAGCUUGAAAUAAUUUGGAUAGCUUUUAUUACAAAAAGAACUUGCUUGAGUUUCUCCUUGAUGGUUACAAAUGAAGUUCUUAAGCUCUUUAUAGGUCCCCACCUCCUCAAUGGACAGUCAUAAUUAAUUUGAUCUAAUGGCUAAAAUUAAGUAUCCAGAAUUUUCUAUAUAAUUCUAUACUUAUCUACAUAUUUUACAUGUCUCUAAAUUGUUCUAGAAUGUUCUAGAAUCCUCCUUUGUCUUCUAAAGAAUUCUAGAGACUUCUUCGUCCUUUGAACCUCAUUUGAGUAGGGAAAACUUGUAGGUUGUGACAUUCUCUCCCACUCUGGCAACACCCUCGUCGCGUCCUCCUUAUAUGCCUCGAUUAAGUCAUUGAAGUUCCACAAAGUGAGCUCGUGCUCCCAACUAGCUUUACUUUUGGGCAAUCCUUUCCACUUCACAAAAUACUUAACAUAGCUUGGAUGGGAACCCAUUCUUGGUAUAUGACCCAAUGUGCAAUUAUCUCUUUGGCUUCCUUCUCGGCUACGGUUGUGAUUGUUGUUGGAGCUCUCUUCGACUUGCCCCUACUUGGAUCUUCCUUCGUCUUCAUAGUAGGGCUUCAAUAAGCUCACAUGAAACACAUGGUGCAUUUCUAAGUGCGACGCAAGCUUCAAUCGAUAAGCUAGCUUCGCAACUCGUCGCUCUACUAGAAAAAGACCUUCAUAGCGCCUUAAUAGUCCUUUAUGCACCUUUGCGAACCUUCGACUUUGAUGGGGAAGGAGCUUUACCAUCACUAAGUCUCCUUCCUCAAACUCUAAGUGCCUCCUCUUUCCAUCCGCCCAUUUCUUCAUUCUCUUGGCAGCCUUGGUUAGAUGAGCGCGUGCCAUAUCGGUUUUAUCAUGCCAUCCUUUGACAAACUUGAAUGUUGCAGGACUAGGGCCUUUAUACCCUACGGCUAGUAUGUGUAGAGUCAAUGGUUGUUGUCCCGUGGCAAUCUCGAAUGGACUCACCCCUGUUGAUUCACUCUUCUGCAAGUUAUAUGAGAAUUAGGCAACAUCGAGCAACUUUGCCCAAUCACUUUGGUUGGCACUCACAUAAUGCCUCAAGAAUAACUCUAUUAAGGCAUUCACCCUCUCCGUUUUUCCAUCGGUUUGGGGAUGAAAGCUUGUAGAGAAGUUAAGCUCGAACCCCAUAAGCUUAAAUAACUCCAUCCAAAACCUUCCAUCUAAGCGAUCUUUGGUAUUGCCCCAAUAUUUCACCAUAUGUUUAAAAAAUACGCGUGCUGCAUCCUCGGCCGCGAACUUUGUAGGCACAGGAAUGAACACUCCAUAUUUGCUAAAGCGGUCCACAACUACCAUAAUGUUACUACAUCCUGCAGACUUUGGUAGGCACGUGAUGAAAUCCAUGGAGAUACUUUCCCAGUGCCUCUCUAGAACUAGUAAUGGCUUUAACAAACUAGUGGGCUUGUUUUGCUCCACCUUGUCUUGUUGACACACAAGACAAGUCUUGACAUAAAGCUCAAUGUCGUCCCGCAUCUGGGGCCAAUAGCAUCAACGCUUCACAAGUGCCAACGUGCGAUACGUGCCUGGAUGUCUUGCCCAUUUUGGACCAUGGCACUCUUUGAUGAUGGUCUUCCUCAAGCCUUCCCAUUUCGGCACAUAGACUCUAUUUCUCUUAGUAACGAGCACCCCAUCCUUUAGCCAAAAUUGGCGAGUCUUUCUUUUCUUCGCCAAUUCUACCAAAUUCUUGGCUUACGGGUCAUGCUCGAGUCCUUCAACAAUCCACCAAAGGAAAGUUAGCGCUAGUGAUGGAAGCCAACUCUGCCUCUCUACUUAGUGCAUCAGCCACUAAGAUUGCCUUUCUCAGCUUGUACUCUAUCACAAAGUCGAACUCCACAAGGAAUGCUUGCCAUCUUACUUGCUUCGGAGUUAGUUUCUUUUGAAAAAGUAUAGGUGCUCCAUAGGGUGCCUUGGAUGGCCUAAUGUAGCCAGCAUCCAACAACUCUUUUAGUUGUCUUUGCAACUCCUCUAACUUAGGAGGCACCAUGCGAUAAGAGAUUGCCGCAGGUGGACUUGCACUUUCUACCAACUCAAUCUUAUGGUCCCCCUAUCUCUUCGGUGGGAGCUUCUUUGGUAACUCCGCAGGCAUUAUGUCCUUGAACUCUUCUAGGAUACCCGUGAUCUCCUUAGGCGCUUCAUCUUGCGGCAUGGUUUCCACUCCUUCCUUUAGUGCCGCAAGGAAUGUGGGUUGAGCCUUCUUUUCCCCCUCGGAUAGUUUCAUGGCUGAGAUUUGCAUGGCUUCUAGCUUGGCUUCUCGUGUCAGUGGUACCAUGCAAGUAUAUCCUUGCUCUACGAUGCACGGAGUGUUGGCAAAUGGAAGUGGGAAUGAGUUUACUUUGUCUAGAAAUUCUAUGCCAAGCACCAUUUUAUAAUCAUCCAUCAUAACAAUGGAGAAGUCCAAGAGGCCAGACCACUCACCUAGGCUUACUUUGAUGUUUCGUGCAACUCUAUAUGUCACACACCGAAUUGACAGCCUUGAGCCACCCUUGCUCCUUUGUAUACUUGAUGCCAAGUCUUUCUACUUCUUUUACCUUAAGGAAAUUGUUGUUAGCCCCGGUAUCCAAUAAUGCUUCUAUCGUGUGGCCUUCAACCUUCGUCUCGAUGAACAAUCGACCAUUCUUUUCGGACUUAGGUAUCCCGAAUUUGGCUUUGAUGGCACUAAGGAGUUGCAAUGAUCCCAUCUUGGACCCCUCUUGUUCUCGUUGGUGCUCUUCCUUUUCUUCGACCAAUGCAGAGAGCUUGCUCUUCGUAGGGCACUCCCUUGCCUUAUGCGGUCCAUCGCAGAAGAAACACUUGAGACGUGGCCUGUCUCCGCCUUUGUCAUCCUUGUUACUAUGGUUGCCUCCCUCUUUGGGCUUGCCAAACUUGUAGGAACCUUCCUUCUUGUGGUGGCGGUCUCCCUCACUCUUUCUCUUAUCGUUCCUAUCUUGGUCGGGCUUGUGCUUGUCUUGCCUCUUAAUCUCUAUUAGGGAUUCGGCCACGGCAAUGGUAGUGUUGAGGUCUUGGACACUAUGAUGCUCCAACUCUAACCUUGCCCAAAUCUGCAACCCAUCUGUGAAUGAAAAUAAGGCUUAUUCAUCUGUAUAGUUAGGAAUCUCAAGGAGUGUGUCUGUGAAUUCUUUAACAUACUCCUUUAUGCUUCCCUUAUGUGAGAGUCGUUGUAACUUGGCCCUUGCUUCUCUAAUAGCAUUGUCGGGGUAGAACUGUUUCUUGAGAUCUUCCUUAAACUCUCCUCAUGAGUUGAUAAUGCAUGUCCCUUUCUUUAUGUUUCCACUCCUCCUUCUCCAUCAUAGCAUUGUGGUAUCUUCAAGGAAGAGUGUGGCAGUGUCGACCUUUUUGGCUUCUUCUACUAAGCCAAGUGCCUUAAAGUAUUGCUCCAAGCUCCAUAAGAAAUUGUCAAUUUCUUUCGCAUUCCUUGAGCCCUUAUAAGCUUUAGGCUUUGGAACAUCUAUCUUUGAUGGAUUAAAGACUACCAUAGGCACGCUUCCUGUAACACCCCCAUCACAUGCUAACCAAUAAACAUUAGCCAGGAAGCAUACAAGCGUCGUAGAAUAUAUACUACAGGUAGAUAGGUCAAUAUGUAGGUUGUUAAGAAUCCAGACACAAGGUUAUUAACAUAUAAACAUAUGAUUAUACUUAAACAUCAUUUAACAAGUAUUACAAACAUCUUCUUAUGCCUUAUAAGGCAUACUUCCAUAUAUAUCACAUAACUGCAUACAAAAAUGCAUUAGGAGGAGACUUCACAAAACUGGCCCAACUUGACAGAACUGCUAAAAGCUAGACUUCGCAUACAACCAACGGAUGCACUACUAUUUACAAACCUGAAAAGAAAAAUUUUGGAGAGGGGUGAGCCUCCAGCUCAGUAAAUAAAUAAUCAACAUAAUCUAUAUCACAUACACUUAAUACAAUUUCCACCCAAUCACAUAACUUUCCAUGAUAUUCAUAGUUUAGGUAUAAAGUCAUACCAUUCUACUCAAUUCAUUACAACCAUCAUAGAAGAAAUACAAUUCAACAAUUAUGGUUAGUUCUCACGGCUUGUGGAUCCCCUUUAAUGUGCUGCUCUGCCUCAUCCUCACAUAUCACACACGUAAGCUGCUCUGCCUCAUCUCACAUUAUACACUUUUAUAGUCUCUCUAGGCUUUAGCCUCCCAAGGCUUUAUAUAUAUAUAUUUUUUUUUUCACAGGGGAAUCCACCAUUCACAUGCACAUAUGCACUUAACAUCACAAUUUAAUCAUUUCACUUAUAUCAUAUUUCAGCAAUAACAAUUGUUCCACUCAACACCAAUCAUUUCCAUCUCAGUCAUUCAAACAUAAACAAUAUUAAGCAAACGCAACCAUUUGUGGAACAUUUGAUUAAAUAUAUGAACAUAGCAAAUAUUAACUAUUUACUUACUCAAAAUAUACUUAUUCCUUUAGCAUAUAAGAACCUCCUUUCUCCACAACUUCCUUUCCAGGCCUUUGAGUACCUGUCAACACAUUCAUCAAUUCACAUUUCAUGCAUAUUACAAAUAUUCAUGUAAAUGCGAGUUCUAAUGCAUUACAAGAUCAUCCCCUCUCUAAUUCAUAGGUCUAACUCUUCCUCUAACACUCUCAAUUACUAUUUUAAUAUCCUAUAAAUAUUUUCCAUCUAGUUAAAUACCAAUUUAACUCAAAUUAACAUCAAUAAAUUGCAUAAAACUAAUCUCCAACAUUUCUGUUUUCUAGACAGAAUUUAGUACCAAGGUAUAUUUAUUGCUGGGCAAAAUUGGCUUAAUACAAAAAUCUCAUAUUAAAUAGACAUAUCCAUUUAUGCGUCUAGUUUCAUCUCCAAGAAGAAUUACUCAAUUCCGACUUCUAUAGAUUUAAUUAUUUUCAAAUUACUGAGCAAGGGUCAUACAGCUAGUUGUACCCGAGCAGCAAUCUGUUUGCUUAAUUUAAGCAACCAAAACGGAAAAAAUAGCAAAAUUACAAAACUACAAAGUUAUAGAGGACUCUUUAAAUUUCCAUAGACACCAAUUAAGCUUAAUUUGGACUUAUAUAACCCAUGUUAUACCUAAAAUACAGAACAUCAAGGUUGCUGGAAUUUUGACAGUUUUCUAUCUUAACAUACUUAAACUUAAAUCAAGCUUAAUCUUUAUGCAAUCAUUCAAUACUCUACUAAUUCAUGAUAAUCAGACCUUUAAUUAAUCAAUGAGAGCAUCAAAUGAAGUUUUUCCAAUUUGUAAUCAAGAACCCUAAUGACAAAUUAAGAACACUCAAGUAACAACUUACCAAUUUCAGCUUUUGGGUUGCUAAUAUGCUUAAAUCCUUUAGCUUUAGCUUGGCUCCUUCAAUAGUUAGCAAAAUCCUAUCUUAAUCUUAACUUUUUCUAGGUAUUACACUCCUCUCUCUUAUUCCAAAUUUUGUGUUUUUGGCCAUGUACGAAUUUUAGAGAAAUGAAGAGGUAAAAUGAGCUUACUCAUGGUUCCAAUUUCCAAUAUUCCUCUCUUAAUGCCACCACCUACUAAACUAUUUUUAUCACCCUAAAUUAAUUCUUACUAACCAUAUAUAGGUACUAACUUUUAAUUGUAUCUUUUAAGUCCAAUCUAUUUACCCAACCUUCAACUAUUGGUUCAAUUAAGUCUUAAGGCUUAAUACACAUAACACAAGUACUUAAUCAACUUAUCUAAAUUAAUAAUCUAAUAUCAUGCUUCUUAUUCUCUACUUAUAAUUAAUAUAUAUAUGUUCUCAUAAAAUAAAAAUAUCAUUGAUAUACCAUCAUAUGCCCAAUGAUUAAAUGUAAAUGCACAUAACAUGGAUGAUGAGAAAAUGCAGGCGUUACACUUCCAUUCCUUAAGAAAUUUCACGUCCCUCGACCUUCCUCUCUCCUUCUUGGAUGGCUUGGACCCUUCAAGUUGGUCCUUCACAGACUCACUGUGAGGUUGCCUUACCUCCUCGGUAACUUUGGUAGUCUCACUUACUUCCGAUGUCUUUGCCAUACUUGCUUCUUCAAGGAUUGUGCUAACCUUGCUCUAAUACUAACUGUCACGAAGUUGGUCUUUCUACCACCAAACCGCGCGGCACUAGCUACUUUCUACACUCAAACAAGUAAGCUAGUCAGCCUUACUCCUCGAAUGCUAGGCAAAAUGCUAGCUAAGAUAGCAAGAAGAACAACAGAGAGCUUAAGAUAAUUUGGAGAGCUUUUAUUACAAAGAGAACUUGCUUGAUUUUCUCCUCGAUGGUUAUAAAUGAAGUUCAUAAGCUAUUUAUAGGCCUCCACCUCCUUAAUGGACAGUGAGGAUUGAUUUGAUCUAAUGGCUAAGAUUAAGUAUCUAGAAUUUUAUAUACAAUUAUAUACUUAUCUACAUAUUCUACAUGUCUCCAAAUUGUUCUAAAAUGUUAUAGAAUCCUUCUUUGUCUUCUAAAGAAUUCUAGAGUCUUCAUAGGCCUUUGAACCUCAUUUGAGUAGGAGAAACUUGCGGGUUGUGAUAUGUAUUACCGCCAGCAUUUUUUGAGACUUUUCUUAAAGGGAUAUUUUAUCAUCAAUCUAAUCACCGUGUAUAUUUUUUUUUUCUUAUCAAUAAAUAAAUUUUUUUACUUGUAUAAUUUAAAUGUCUCAUAUAUUUUUAAAAAAGUGAUUCGAUUUAUGAGAUUUGAUAUGAUACUUAUGAGAUCAAAAAAUCAAAUUUAUUUAUAAAAGUAAGUUCUUCUUCGUAUGGAGUUAAAAAAGAAGUUCGUCAAUCAAGAAUUUAAAAAAAAAGAUUAAACACUAAUAUUAGUAAAUAUAUGAUUUUCUAUAAAAGAAUUUUUUUUUAUAAUUAUUAUUAUUUUGACAAUGUUUGUAAAAUGCAACUCAAUAAUAUAAAUAAUUAGUUGUCUGAAAGUUAGAUUCAAUUUCUUCACCAUUUUGCUAAAUAGAUAUCAGUUUUUUUCAUAAAAAGAACUAUACAACCAAUUGAAUAAAAUUAAAUAAAAUGAUAAUUAAAUAUGAUGACUAAUAAUGUUGAUGACUGUGUAAUAAUAAUGGCGAUAGUUUUGAACACGCUAAAAUGCACAGUUUUGAACAUGUUGAAAAUGCUCCUCUUCAAAUAAAGUGAAAAAGGCUAAACUUCAAAAGGAAAAUAAAUUAAAAAAAAACUGUGGAUCCAUUUCAGAAUUCCAAAUCACAACAAGCGUAAUUCUGACGGCAUGCGCGUAGCUACUAUUUUUCCAUAAAAAUAAAAAUAAAAAUUCAAACUUCCUCACUACACGUUGCAGCUGCAGGUCACGCGCACGUGCAUUUACUGUGGCUCCACGUCGGACCAAUGGCAUCGAAUGGUAAUUUCCCUUUUAAUCCAUGUCUACUUCAAUAUUAAUAACCGUACCUUUUUUUCUCCAAAACCACUAGCUGCUGCUCUGCUGCUGCCUUUAGAAAUUAUGCGUGGAUCGUCAGAUGAACGUAGUCGGUGCACAUCCACGUGUCACAAUCCUCUUCGUCUGUUUCCAUUAUAAAUAAACAUCAGUCUAGUGUAAUAGAGUAGGCGCAGCAUGUAUCUAUCUAUAUACUUCCGUCUUCUGUCCUUUCUUUCCUUUCUCUCUUUCUGUCUCUCUUGAAAAUUCAGCAUCUAUUAUUUGGAAGAGAGAGAAAAAAAAAAAAAGAAUAAUGGAGAAGGGGAGAGAGAGUUGAUUCUGUUACCGGCGGUCUCUAAUUCGCUUGGUGCAGGUCGGGAACUGAUUGGCUUUUCUAUUUCUAAUGAUUUCCAGGCGGCGAAAAGUUAUUGGUCAAGAUUAGAUGGAAAGUGAAUUGGAUCCCGCCUUGCAUCAACUGAAUCGAAGACCGGGGUGAAGGGUUGGUUUCGUGGACCUUGAGAUUUUAUCUGCCGUUACUGUUCAGAUCUCAGGUUGGGAUUUUUUUGUUUUUUUAUAUAGUUUUUAUUUUCGGUGACGCUUAUUAUGGUGUAGCUGAUAAUUAAUUAGUUUUUGUUGGAUAUUUCGGCAUUCCAUGAUCUGAUAUUAUUUGGCAUCAAUAGAUCUAAAUAUCAGAUCCUUUUAAUUAAUUUUCUCUCCUUUAUUCUACUUUAGAAUGGAGGAUUCGCGCCGGUUCAUAGUAAUUGAAAAUAUUGCACAACAACAUUUAUUUGAAUCCUUUUUUAAGAAAAAGGAACUCCUUUUUGCUACAGUUUUAGUUUAAAACAAAAGAAAGAACUUGUGCCCAAUAGAGCUGGUUAUGUUACUUGUUAUUAGAAUUUGACCAAGUUGAGUAUCAAAUUAUUGAAAAUUUGCUUUGCCUUUUUUAUUUCUCAAUCUAGCUUUGUCUAAGGAAUAUGAUUAUUUUUUUAAUGUGAUUUUACAAAGUAAAUAUAUUUCUUUUUUCCUUUUGCUAGCGCUUGAGAAAAUGGCUUUCAAUUUAAUAUUCAUGUCAGUGCUUGUAGAACAUUUUAGUUUUCGCAAUUUCACAUGAAAUGUGAUAAAUGUUCUUGGAUAGAACUCAUUCUAAAAGCUAGCUCAAAGGAAGAGGUUGCCCAAUCCACUUAUAUAUAUUAUAAUAGCCCAGUAACCAAGUGAUGUGAGAUAAAUACAACUUCUAACAAAAUGCUCUUUAAUUUUAUAAGUUACAACUUCUAACAAAAUGCUCUUAAAUUUUAUAAGUUAUAUCUGUUUUGCUAACUGAUAAACAUAGUAACUGAGGACAUUUACUGUUUUAAAUUUUUCUCGUUCAGGACUAAAGGACUUGGUAAGUUUUCUAUAUAACAUAAUUGAAUAUAAAUGAAACUUAAUCAAACAAGAAAUAAACAGUACUUUUAUUGUUUGCUAAACAUGCUCAUAGAUUUUAGUUGUGGACACGAAUAGUUAUGCUUUGACAUUCUUGUACUAAGUUGCAGUUUUUCAGUGUCAUAUAACAUUUUGUUUUGUUUUGGUGAAUUGUCUACAGACUAUCAAAUCUACUAAUAAGCUUCUAUUCAAACACGGAAAGAAAAUGACAAUAUACAGGAUGGAUAGAAGAAGUCGUGACACUGGGCUUUAGGUUUAAAGUUUAGACUUCCUCUGUGUUUGGACCAAAACAAUAGAUAAGUUGAAUAAUUUUGCAAAUGAAAUUCAUGCAGAAUUCAUUUAUAAAUUAACAUUUUUCAGUGGUAUACAAUAUAUCAAUGCAUAGACUUUAUUGUAAAGUAUAGAUUUUGUUGUUUUGAAUCUCUUACAAACUUUGAGACUUUUUAUAGAAAUUGGUUUAGGAUGACCAACUCCUUGAAACCGAAACUUUAGGGUGGAAAUGAAACUGUUUGGGGUUGCAAACAUGUCAAGUAUGGAUUUACAAUUUAAUUCAGUGGCAUUUUAUGUCAGUAAUUUGCUACAAGCGACGUCUUUUGUUAAGAACUGAAGUAUAAAGUAAAAGAGAACUCAACAAUUCUGGAUAAUUGCAUGGCUUCUUGUUGAAUAAACUUAGGCUUAAAUGGCCUUUUACAAUGACAAUAGAAUGAGAAAAAACAAUGAGAAAAACAUGCUCACGUUAUUAACAAUUCAACAUGAAAAGUGCUAACAAUAAGAUUAUUCCAAAUAGAAAUCUUAAUUGAAUGCCUAAAAUCUCUCUUCAUAUCCCCCCUUAAACUAGUUACCAAGGACAACUAAUUUAACUUAGGAACACAACAAACUCCUAGCUGACUUCGAAACUUUUGAAAAACAUCCACCGUGAGGGGUUGUCAUCAAAUCAGCCAGUUGAUUUUGAGUCCCACAAUGAACUAAUUCAACUAUGCCAUCUUUUGUAAGAUCUCGAAGGAAAUGAAAGCGUACAUCGUUGUGCUUACUCCGGCCAUGUAACACAGGAUUUUUUGACAGUUUUAUUGUGGAACUGUUAUCACAAUAAAUUGUUGUGCACUUACUUUCCUCUUGACUCAGUUUUUCAAAUAUUCUUUUCAUCCAGAUAACUUGACUUGCACAUGCUGCUGCAGCCACAAAUUCUGCUUCUGUUUUUGAGAGCGUGACUAUAGGUUGUUUUCGUGAAGACCAUGCAACAGCUCCUGCACCCAACAUAAAAACAUAUCCUGAUGUACUUUUUCUAUCUUCAACAUCGCCUGCAUAGUCGCUAUUAGUAUAUCCAACCAGACUUUCGUAUCCUCCAUGCUUAUAGAAAACUCCAAAUCCUAUUGUGCCUUUCAAGUACCUUAGUAUUCUCUUUGCUACCAUCAAAUGCAAUUCAGUUGGAUUGGCCAUGUACCUGCUAAUCAGACUUGCUGCAAACAUCAAAUCUGGUCUCGUAGUGGUUAAGUACAUGAGGCAUCCUAUCAUUUGCUUAAACAAAGUUGCAUCCACAUGAACCCCACUUUCAUCUUUAAAAAGCUUACAGCCUGAAACAAUAGGAUUAUGAAUUGAUUUGCUAUUUUCCAUUUGAAAUCUCUUCAAGACUUCAAAGGCAUAUUUUCUUUGACAAAUAUAAAUACCAUCAGACCUUUGUAAGACUUUUAUACCCAAGAAAAACCUCAUUCUUCCUAAAUCAGUCAUAUCGAAUUCCCUCAAUAUGGAACUUUUAAAAUCACUAAACAUCAAUUCAUCAUUGCCAGUAAAUAUUAAGUCAUCAACAUACAAACUAACAAUGAGAAUUUUACCUCCGCUGCUUCUUUUAAUGAACAAAGUAUAUUCAUUAUGACACUUCUCAAACCCUUCGUUUGUGAAAUGAGCUUCAAUGCGACUGAACCAAGCUCGUGGAGCUUGUUUCAGUCCAUAUAGUGCUUUCUUCAAUUUAUAAACUUUUUGAGAAUUAUCUUUCAGUUCAUAACCUUUUGGUUGUUCCACAUACACUUCUUUCUUAAGUUCUCCAUGUAAGAACUCAGAUUUGACGUCAAGUUGAUAGAGUGUCCACCCUUUUAUGUGCUGCAAGUGCUACAAUCAUUCUCACCGUGUCCAUUCUUGCAACUGGUACAAAUACUUCUAUGUAAUCUAUCCCUUGCUGCUGCACGUAUCCUUUUACUACUAAUCGGGCUUUCAAUUUGUCAACUUCUCCAUUCUCCUUGAGUUUAGUUUUAUAAACCCAUUUCAAUCCAAUUGUCUUUGCACCUUCAGGAAGAUCAAUGAGUUCCCAUGUGUUGUUCUUCUCAAUAGCUUGUAUCUCCAUGUCCAUUGCUUGUCUCUAUUUAUCAUGUUUCACUGCUUCUUUAAAAUGAGCUGGAUCUACUGAACCAAAGAGAAUUGAAUUGACAAUUGCAUCUUCGUCUUCUGAAUCUUUUGAAAUUCCUUCCCCAGUAAUAUAAUCACGCAUCCAUGUUGGAGGCUUUUUAGAUGGUUCUUCAGUAUUUUGAGGACUGCCAAUAGACUCAGUGCUUGCUUCUUCCUCUCCAUUUAGUGCGUCUCUAUUCACAGUAUCAUUAUUGUCCCAUUCUAGAUCAACCAAUAUGUGUUCUUCAUAACUUUUAUCCCAACUCCAAGAUUUAUCUUCCUCAAAGACCACAUCUCUGCUGAUUAUGAUCUUCCUUGCAACUGGAUCAUAUAGUCUGUAUGCUUUAGACUCCUCACUUAUGCCCAAUAGCACACAAGCAAGACUCUUUGAAUCUAAUUUUUUUCUUUUCACGUCAUGAACAUGCACAUGUGCCAAACAGCCGAAAAUUUUGAAAUAAUCGAUUGAGGGUCUACUCCUACACCACGCUUCCUCAGGUGUUUGAUUCUUCACAGGGAGAGUAGGACUUCGAUUUAGAACAUGGAUUAUCCAGUUCACUGCCUCGGGCCAGAAAGUCUUCCGCAUUUCUUUCUCGGAUAGCAUGCAUCGAACCAUGUUCAUCAUGGUACGAUUCUUUCGUUUUGCUACUCCAUUUUGUUGCGGAGUGUAAGAUGCUGUCAAUUGCCUUUUGAUUCCAUGCUCUGUGCAAAACUCAUUAAACUCAUGGGAUGUGAAUUCUCCCCCUCUAUCUGUUCUCAGACAUUUGAUAUAUCCUCCUAUUUCCUUUUCUACAUAACUUUUGAAUUGUUUAAACAUGGUUAAUGCUUCAGAUUUCUCUACUAGAAAAUAAACCCACGCCUUUCUAGUAAGAUCAUCAAUAAAGCAUAAAAAAUAUCUCUUCUUACUAUUAGACGUAGGAGAGAUCGGUCCGCAAAUAUCGCCAUGAACAAGUUGAAGUUUUUCUGUGGCUCUCCAAUUGCUCGACUUUGGGAUUGGAUUUCUAUGUUGUUUUCCAAUCAUACAAUUCGCACACACCGUUGUUGGAGUUUCGAAUGGAGGUAGUCAAUGCACCAUGUUUUUAUAUUGGAGAGUCCUUAGCCCCUUGUAGCUCAAUGUCCAUAACGAUAGUGCCAUAAAGUUGCUAAAUCACACGUUGAAGUGUAGAGACAAGUUGAGUUUUGGGGCAAUGGUUCUGCCCGCAGCACAAACAUCCGAUUCUUUGCUAUCUCUGUCUGAAUUAUAAGCCCUUUGUCUGGAUGAUAGAAUUUGAGUGUUCCACCUUGAAUAAGAAUUGCCAGCCCUUUUUCUUGUAGUUGAACAAUGGUUAACAGAUUGUUCUUCAGCUCAGGCACAAAAAAUACUUCACGGACAGUAUAUGAAAAACCACUUACUUUCAAUCUCACAUUGCCUUUACCUAAUACAUUCAACUUUGUGUUAUUUCCCAGAGUCACCUUCUGCCUGAAUGUCUCAUCAAAGUGUUCAAACUCAUUCUUGUCGCCACACAUGUGAUUGCUGCAUCUAGAAUCUAGAAACCAAAUGUUUUUCCUUUGAUCAUCUUUCAUCUUCACAUAUGACAUGAGCAACCUCUCUUCUCCUUCUUCUUCUUGUUCAACAUAAUUAGCUUCUUUAUCCCAGCUUGGACAUUCAUAUUGAAAAUGCCCAAGUUUAUGACAUUUAAAGCGUUCUAUCGUUGCUUUAUUGUAGGACUGGCGCCUCCCUCUUCCUCUACCUCUGUUUGCACCUCGACCCCUUCCCUCUUGCACUUGUUUUGUCAUCAUGACUAACUUUGAGUGCUUGUUCUGUUCCUGCAUAUCGUUGAAUUUUUGCUCGUGAAGAAUUAAAGAACUCUGCAACUCAUCUAUGGAAAGUUGAUCGAUAUGUCUUUGGACUCCUCGAUUGCACAAACAACGUAAUUAAAAUUCUCGUUUAGAGAUCUGAGAAUUUUUUCAACAAUUAUGACAUCUUGCAUCUGCUCACCAUAUGUCCUCAUCUUGUUAGCCACUGUUAAGACUCUUGAAAAAUACUCAGAGACACCUUCUCCGAUUUUCAUCUCUAGAGUUUCAAACUCUUUGCGGGGAGCUUGAAGAUGUGAUCUCUUAACUCUAGCCCUUCCUUCAAACUUUCUCUUCAUGGAUUCCCAAAUCUGUUUGGAAGUAUUUUUCUCCAGAAUGGUUUCUAGUAUUGUCCGAUCUAUGGCUUGAAAAAGAAAGUUCUUUACUUUCAUGUCUUUCAGCCGUGAUUCCUCUAGCUUCUUUCGUUGUGCUUCUGUCUGCACUGUACCAUAUGUUGGUUCCUCAUAACCAAUUUCUACCAAUCCCCAUAACUCCUUUGAUCGUAGGAAAUUUUCCAUCAACAUGCUCCAAUGGUCAUAGUGACCAUUAAAGUGAGGGAUAGAUGGCUGCACAAAAUUCCCUUUGCUUGUUGUCCUGUUGUUGUAAGGACUUCAAAGUCUGUUGCUUUCCCAGUGGGGGCUCUGAUACUAAAAUGUUAAGAACUGUAGUAUAAAGUAAAAGAGAACUCAACAACUCUGGAUAAUUGCAUGACUUCUUAUUGAAUAAACUUAGGCUUAAAUGGCCUUUUACAAUGACAACAGAAUGAGAAAAACAUGCUCACGUUAUUAACAAUUCAACGUGAAAAGUGCUAACAGUAAGAUUAUUCCAAAUAGAAAUCUUAACUGAAUGCCUAAAAUCUCUCUUCAUCUUUAUGGUAUUUAAAUUAAUUAUAACAUUAUGUUUGGUUCAAAUCUUAUGUGGAAUUUUAAUUUCAAUUACAAAUGAUUUUAUAAUAGAAUUCAUUUGUAAAUGAAUUUUGGUAUUUGGUAUAUUUUAUAAUAAAUGUAGAAUUCAUUUUUAAUAUUUUUGUGUUUGGUUUAAUUGCAAAAAUCAAUUCAAUAUUUUAAAAAUGCCCUUUAUAUGUAUUAUUUUGUAAUUUAGAUAUUUUCUAACCAAAUAUUAAUUAAAAUGAGAGAGAGAAGAGAGAGAAAAGGAAAACAUAAAAAAGGGAAAGAGAGAGAACUAUGAUAUUCGAAUAGUGUACUUUUUUCAUAACAAUGAAAAACUCAUAAGCUUCGAGUUCGUUUGCGAAUUCUAUCAAAUUCGGUAGAUUUUGGUUGAAUUAUAACCAAUUCCAUGAACCUUAUGAGUUAGAAUUCCAAGUGGUUUUUCAUUUAUGCCAAAUACACUAAAUUUGAAAUUAAAAAUGAAUUCCAUAAAAACUUAUGGAACUCAUUUAUACCAAACACAGUGUAAAUAUAGUUUCCAAAUUCUUCUGGUUUCAUAGUAGAUGGUAGGUCAAUACUGGAUUGUUUUCUCUCUAGUUCUUUCAUGCUUUGUUCUAAAUGUAGUUUCCAUUGCUAUAUGAUGCUGGAACCAGGCUUAGGGUAACUUUUGUGUUUUCCUCUAUUCUAUUUGAAGUCAGUGUGAUAACAAUUCAGUUGUACUCUAGAUCACUUAAAAAUGUUUUCAAGUUUCUGUAUUGACAUCCUUGUGAGCCAGGGUGGAUGUGAAGGGUAACUCAUGAUGACACCAAAAUGUGCUAGUUUUAAUUGUGUUCUUUCACCUCUCUCUCUCUCUCUCUCUCUCUCUCUUGUGUAUCUGUGGAUGCAUAUGAAUGAAUGUUUGGAUGCAUGUUUACGUUAUGUAUGUACACUCGUAUUACCUAAACUCUUUAAGGUACUUUGUUUUGAUGAUGAAUGUUUAAUAGUAUUGAUUGUGACGCUUGAGGAUUGAACGGAAAUAUCCUGCUUAAUGUCAAAGCUUUGGGCUUCAUCAACUGCUCAUGUACUGUCCCUGCUCCAGAUUUCAUGGCUAUGGUAUGGUAUCUCAUUUUUCUAGCAUUUCCCAUCAUGUCAUAUAUAUUGUGGUUUCUAUGUGUAACAGUUGAUGUGCUGGAUAUGCAAUAGUGAAGUUUUGCUUGCUUGGUUUUACUGCCAUUUACCACUGGUUAGUCUCUACAUCAGUCGAUGUUUGUACUUGUGUGUUUUGUGUUUAGCAAUCUGGGACCCUUACAGUUUCAUUUUAUUAGCAAAAGGUAGCAAAAGGUUCCACUUUGACAUUGAAUCAUCUUAAUUUUUAUUUUCAUAUGCAUGCAUGCAAACAUUUGGUCUCUUGUUUUGUUGUUUGUCAAAUUUUCUAUUAGUGCACCUGCUUGUUCUGGUUACUAGCACUUGUGUUCAUCUUGGAGACUGUUCGACAGUUUCCAAUAUAUGGUAUUUGAUCAAAAUCACUUAUAAACCCCCUUCUUCUAGCCCAUCUAUUAAUGUACAAGUACUUUUUCCUUAACAACUAGUGGUAAACUUAAGGCAUUUCAUUGUAUUGGUGAUUUUAUACUCAUCUACGGAAUGUAUAACUAAGUAUCAGUGUCUUGAGGUUCAUUUGGAUGAUUGACUAAACAAAGAUUUUGCAGGUCUUGCUGGUUAGAACAAGAAAAAGAUUUGACUCCAAUUCUUUUUGGCAACUUGGCUUUGUUGCCCAGCAUCCUCUUUGAGAUUUGCAGGUUGUCGUCCUGGCAGUAUCCUUGUUAAGGUUUAUCAAGUGCUCAUGUUCUCUAACAUGCUGCAGACAUUCCACCCAACCCCCAACCCUUCCUUCUUCCAUCAUUGGAUGAUGCCAAGGAGGACUAGCUUACAACAGAAGUNNNUGUGCACUAAUAGCAGUUUCUCAUCUAACAUCAUUUGGUAAGAUUUUAAAAUCAACUGCUAAUAGUUAAUUUAAUCUCGGCCGUUAGUUUUAUCGAUUUUAUUUUAGAGUUUUUUAUAUGAUAUGAUAACUGAUUUGAAUUUUUUAUUUAUUUAUUUAGAUAUUAUUAUUUUUAUUAAAAAUUAUUAAUAAUAAUUUAUUUCAAGUUGAUUUUAUAUAAUUAUCUUUUUAUAAUUCAAUGAUAAAUAAUUAUUAUUUUCAAAUUCCACUAAACUAGCUCUAAAUUAAUAGUGGGAUUUUAAAGGUUGCUGCAGAUAACUGUCUUUUUCCUUUUUUAAUCCCUUCCUCAUCUUUCUCCAUGGUGCUGGACUGCAAACCGGGCAUUUCAUCUUAGGUUGGUGUAAUUUUAAAUCUCAACAUUUCAUCUUAUGCUAGCAAAAAAGGUUUCAAAAUGGGUCAUGACUAGUAACUGUUAAACACAAAAAAAUUAUAGAUUAUGGUUAAAUUGUAGCAGGUCUAGAUCAAUAAAUGGGUUGACCCGUUUAUGAUAUAGUUUAAAAUGAGUCAUGUAACAAGUUGAUUCGCAAGUCCGUUGCAAUCUGUUUAAUUUUUCGUGUGUUGUGUCGUAUAAAUUCCAUCUAAUCUAAAUUGUAAAUCUCUAAAAAAUAAAAUAAUUAUAUAUAAAAAUAAAAGUAAAUAAAAAUAAAAUAAUUAAAACGUAAAAUAUAACAAAUAAAAUCUAAUUAGUAUGACGAUCAUAUUAAAGUUUUUUAUUUAUGUGCCACCCUUCUUACAGAAAAAAAUAAAACUAUAAUAAAAUGAAUUGGUACUAUUUAUAUGAACUUUAAAGAUGCCUCUUGAAUAAUUGAAAUUUUUAUUUAUAAUUUGAUGUUGUCUCUAUUUAUUUUAAAAAAUAAUUUUGUAUAUGUUAAAGAUAUUAAAUUUUAUAUUUUUUAUAUAACAAGUUAAACGGGUUGUGUCAAGUUUAUAAUUCGUAUACAACUAUGUAAAUAAUAUUGAGAUAAAUUAACACCAUGAAUCAUAUUCGUACUAAUUUUAACCAUGUCACCUAAAUAAUUUAACUCAACACAAACACCGCCCAUGAAGAAGUUUUGACACCCCUAAUAUUUAAGGACAAAUGAACCGGAAAUUGGAGGAGAAAGGAGGCAUUCGCUUAUUAAGAGAUAAAGGCCCGUUCAUUUUUAAUAGAGAAAAUAAACUAUAAAACUGUACACAAAUUUAAAUUACAUGUGUCAAAAUAAGUACACAUAUCAAAAUAAAAAUUUUAUAUAUGAAAGAAAUAAAAGUGUGUCAAAAAAUCUUAAAUCUGAAUAAUAAAAUGAGUUUUUAAAAAAGUCUAUAUUUAAAUCAGACUUUAAUUUGAUUCAAUUUUGAGUCAAAUUGGAUUAGUACAAUCAAUGUUAAUUGUAAAAUAACUUUUCUAGAAAGCUCUAAAUGAGUUAACUUUCUUCUUAAAAAUAGAAAAGGGUUAGCUCAUCCACGAGUUUUACAACCCUAAUCAAUUAUUUAAUUAGUUAGAAUUUGAUCUAUUUAAUUCAAUAAAUAGUUUCAAAUAAUUUUUUUUAUAUACAUGCGGUACUCAAGUAAUUUACAUGUGACGAAUCUUUCUAUCAAAUUCUAUUGAUUUGAAUAAUUUGUAUGCAUUUCACAGAGCUCACUUUUAUUUGAGACUUUUUUAAUAGAAAAAGAAGUUAGACUUUUAAUCGUGAUAAUAAGUCAUUUAAAAUGUAAAAUUUAAUUGUCUGGAGGACACAACUGUAAAACAUCAAUCACAUAUAUGUAGAAGUUCUAAAUAAAGAAAAAGCAAAUAAAAACAGCAUGAUUUAUAAUGGUCACCAUCUUAUUAGAGUUAUGUCUACCAUAUUGACACUAACAAUUACAUACAUAUUUAUACUCUUAAACUCAUAUUUUAAUUUUAAUUUAAUAAACACUUAGAUUUUAUUUCUUACUCAUUCAAACAUUACAAAGUUACAUUUUAUAAGUCUCUAUUUAAAUUUUGAGUCCAACAUAAAUAAAUUUCUACUUUAAUUUAAAAUUUCAUCAUUAUAAGUUCUUUAGUGUCUUCAAUUUUCAAACCUUCAUUUGAGCUUUUAUCCUAUAAAAUUAUGAUUAGAAAAGUAUUUAUUUUCCAAGUUGCAGUUAGAUUUGAAGUCAUAUCCAACAUAUAAUAACAAAUUCUUUAAAAAUAUACAUAUAAAAUAAUUUUUUGGACCUCCGUUUGAAAGACCUAAAUGGCAACUCGCAAGCUCGUAUACUAUUAAUCGUUCGGCGAGCCCAAUAAAUAUGACAAUCAUGGGCAAUGCAGAGACCAAGAGUUGACUCUUUUCUUUUUAUUAUUUUUCACUUUUUACAUCGGCUUUAUUAAUUUUAAUUGGUUUUGUUUUUUAAUCAGGUUUAUUUAUUGCUAAAUUAAUGAGCUACUAGUAAAAAUCACGGAAAGGAAUAAUGAUUAUCUUCUUAUUUCCCUUUCUCUUUUCCUUUUUAAGAAAAAAAAUUCUUAUCAUCAAAUCGAUUUAUCAUUUUUAAUAUUUUGAUAGAAUAAAUAUUUUUAAAUAUUUUAAUAAAAAUAUCAAAAAAUGUGUGGGAUGGUAAGUUAAUAUGUUCUUUUUUAAAAGAUGGUGAAUUAAUAUAAAAUUUCAAGAAUUUAAAUUAAAUUUAAAAAUAAACAGCAAUAAAAUGAUUAAACAUCUCUACUUUUUUUUUUAAUUGAAAAGAGAUAACACUAAAGUAUCGAUCUUUAUUUUAAGUUGAGGGAAACUUUUUUUCUUUUUAUAGGUGAAAUUAAAAGUUAUUUAUUUUAAUAAGAUAAUACUUACAUACCUUUUUAAAUAUAAAAUAAAAAAAAAUUAGUUUGGUCCUUCACAUUUUUAGUUUUAAUAAAUAUAUUACAGAUUAUUUUAUUUUUUAUUGGCAAGAAUUAAAGAAGGAAAUUAAAACCAUUAGUAUUUAUAAAGAUAGAAAUAAAAUCAUGAAUAAAACAUAAAUAGUCUAUUGAAAAUAAAAUCUUUACUCUUUCAUAUCUAAAUAUACUUUAAUUUUUUUUUUUUAGUGUAUGAGUAAUAUUUUUAAAAUAAAAAGUAAAGAGUAUGAAUGGACACUCACUUUUUCAUCAUAAAAUUAAUAAUUUUUUUCUUUUUUCUUUUAAUUUCUUUAUUAUAUUUUUCAAUAUUAAGUUGUUUCCAAUAAGUGGAUAUGGCUCAACUAUCAUUAUUCUUGAAUUCUUUUCCUACUAUCUUCCUCUUUCUUUUAUUAUUUCUAUAAAAUUCUAAUUCAAAUUAGAAAAAUAUUUUUUUUCCAAGUUGCAGUGAGAUUUGAAGUCAUACACGGAAUCAUAAAUUUUAAAAAAUAUACAUAUAAAAUAAUUUUUUGACUUUUGUUUGAAACUCUUAAAUAGAUCUAAAUGACAACUCACAAGCUCGUAUACUAUUUAUCGUUAGACGAGCCUACUAAAUACGACAAUCAUAGGCAAUGCAAAUACCAAGAAUUGACUAUUUUUCUUUUUAUUAUUUUUACUUUUUACAUCGCUUUAUUAAUUUUAAUUGGUUUUGAUUUUUAAUUAGUUCUAUCUAUUUCUAAAUUAAUGAGUUUAUUAAUAAAAAUCAUGGAAAGGAAUAAUGAUUAUUUUCUUAUUUCCUUCUCUCUUUCCUUUUCUCCUUUUCUUUUCUAAGAAAAAUCUUAUCAUCAAGUUGACAUGUUUUUUCUAAUAUUUCAAUAAAAUAUAUUUCUCUUUAAUAUUUUGAUAAAAAGAUCCAAAAAUGUACACAUGAGAUGGUGAGUUAAUAUAUAUAUAUUUUAAAAAGAUGGUAAAUUAAUAUAUAAUUUUAGAACUUUAAACUAAAUUUAAAAAUAAGCAGCAAUAAAUGAUUAAACCUUGCUACUUUUAUUCUUAAUUGAAAAGAGAUGACACUGAAGUAUCAAUAUUUAUUAUAAAUUGAGGGAAUUUUUUUUUUAAGAGGUGGAACUUAAAAGUUAUUUACUUUAAGGAGUUAUCUUAUAAGAUAAUGCUUAAAUAUAAAAUAAAAAAUUAGUUUGGUCCUUCACAUUUUUAGUUUUAAUAAAUAUAUUAUAAAUUAUUAUUAAUUAAUUUUAAUUUUAUUUUUUAUUGGCAAGAAUUUAAAAGAAAAGAAAAAUUUAAAACCAUUAGUAUUUAUAAAAAUAGAUAUGAAAUCAUGAAUAAAACAUAAAUAGUCUACUGAAAAUAAAACCUUUACUCUUUUAUAUCUAAAUAUAUUUUAGAAUAUCUUUAUUGUACGAAUAAUACUUUUAAAAUAAAAGUAAAGAGUAUGAAUGGACAACACUCACUUCUUCCUCAUAAAAUUAAUAUUUUUUUAUUUUAAUUUUUUUAUUAUAUUUUUUAAUAUUAAAUUCUUUCCAACAAUUGGAUAUGGCUCAGCUAUCAUUAUUUCUGAAUUUCUUCCCUAUUAAUAAUCUUUCUCUUUCUUUUGUUAUUUCUUAACUCAAAUAUUAAUAUUGAAAUGAAUAAAAAGAAAAAUAGGUUACAAAUCAAGUGCUCACAAAUAUUUAAAUAUGAUUUUUUAUUAAUAAAUCAAAAGAAUAAAAAAAUCCAAUCUUUUUAGUGAUUUUUGUUAGUAUUACUUUUCCAAACUAAAAAAAGAAAAAAGAAAAAGAGAAAAAGAAAAACUAAUAAACAUUUCACGUAUGAGAGACCGAAACAUAAAUAACUGGUGGUACAUAAAGAGUAGACAUAAAAAUAUUAGGUAAUACAAUACCAAUAAACUCCUAAAACAAAUUCUAAAAUUCCAAAAUGGUCCAAAAAGAGAGCCGUGGUGGUAUUUGAAUCACCACAUUCUAGUGAACGAAACCCUCUUCUCUUUCGCAAAGCCCAAACCCUAACCCUUGGCGGCUGUGAAAACCUCUCCAGUCUCCUCCUUUCCCCCUUUUUUUUUCCCUCGUCUCUCUCUCUCUCUCUCUCUC